UUAAGAGAGAGAGCCCCUGGCGAAGUUCCAACUCUUGAAUUUUCGCGCGAAGUUUGCCUUCUCCAACACGUCUUACUCCAUCAGUGAACGACCGAUUCUUGCUCACUGUCUCAUCCGGAAAUCGAUACGAUCGGACUGUCCAAUAUCAGAUUUUUGGUUGAACGCGAUCGGAGAUUAUAACCAGAUGGCAUAUGUAGAUUUUGUUUCCGAAAAGUAGAUUAAAUCGUUUUUUACGCUGAUAAGAGACGCCGCCGAAGCAACGAUCGAAAAACAUGAACAGGAGCAAAACUGUGGAGAACUAUGUCCAGAGUAUCAAGCAAUCGGUUCAGCUCAAUCCCGAUCAGAUGAAAAUGGCUGCGAAGGUUUGCAAGUAAUUCUUGGAUGUUGUGGAGAAGAAACAAUAUGGUUGGUUUUGGUUACGCCCAAAUGUAGGCAAGGACUGUCAUUAUGGGCGUGCUCUAUUUGCUGGGUAUGUUUUAAAGCUUUAAGCUCUUCUAUAGGAGGAGACCGAAAAUAUGUCUACUGAGGAGGGAGGAUCGAGGGGAUAGAAAAUCAGCAUGCCAAGAUAACUAAAACAACAUCAACCCUCAUGACUCCUGAAUUAUACAUGCAAUGGAAGAAGAAAAAGUUUGCAGAAAGAGAAGCUUGUUUUGCUGCACUGGCAGAAAGAGCCUCGAAUGAUCG